CUUGGUCAUUUAGAGGAAGUAAAAGUCGUAACAAGGUUUCCGUAGGUGAACCUGCGGAAGGAUCAUUAUUGAAUUUUUGGGAAGGGGGUUGUAGCUGGCCUUUCGAGGCACGUGCACGCCCCUGUCCAAGUUCCACCUUUUACCCCUGUGCACUUUGUGUAGGCCGAGAAAUCGGUCUAUGUUUCUUUACACACCAAAAAAAGAAUAUGGAAUGUUUUAUGUAGGCUUUUAAUAAAGCUGAAAUAAUCAUACAACUUUCAACAACGGAUCUCUUGGCUCUCGCAUCGAUGAAGAACGCAGCGAAAUGCGAUAAGUAAUGUGAAUUGCAGAAUUCAGUGAAUCAUCGAAUCUUUGAACGCACCUUGCGCUCCUUGGUAUUCCGAGGAGCAUGCCUGUUUGAGUGUCAUUAAAUUCUUCAACUUUGCCAGGUUUGUUUUGAACCUUGUGCGAAGCUUGGAUUUGGAGUGUGCUGGCUCUCACGAGUUGGCUCCUCUUGAAUGCAUUAGCGAAACCUUACGAAGGGGGAUAGGCUUUGAUUUGAUAGCUAUCUAUGUCAUCGCCGUGAUACCUCGUAUUUAAUAUUUGGUUCGCUUCCAACCGUCCAAUCAAUCUCUUGGACAAACACUUGUUUUUGACAUUUGACCUCAAAUCAGGUAGGACUACCCGCUGAACUUAAGCAUAUCAAUAAGCGGAGGAAAAGAAACUAACAAGGAUUCCCCUAGUAACUGCGAGUGAAGCGGGAAAAGCUCAAAUUUAAAAUCUGGCGGUCCUUGUGGCUGUCCGAGUUGUAAUCUAGAGAAGUGUCUUCUGUGCUGGACCGUGUACAAGUCUCUUGGAACAGAGCGUCAUAGAGGGUGAGAAUCCCGUCUUUGACACGGACUGCCAGUGCUUCUGUGAUGCACUCUCAAAGAGUCGAGUUGUUUGGGAAUGCAGCUCAAAAUGGGUGGUAAAUUCCAUCUAAAGCUAAAUAUUGGCGAGAGACCGAUAGCGAACAAGUACCGUGAGGGAAAGAUGAAAAGAACUUUGGAAAGAGAGUUAAACAGUACGUGAAAUUGUUGAAAGGGAAACGCUUGAAGUCAGUCGCGUUGGCCAAGGAUCAACCUUGCAUUUUUGCUGGGCGCACUUCUUGGUUGACGGGUCAGCAUCAAUUUUGACCGUUGGAUAAAGGCUGAGGGAAUGUGGCAUCCUCGGAUGUGUUAUAGCCCUUGGUUGAAUGCAACGGUUGGGAUUGAGGAACUCAGCACGCCGCAAGGCCGGGAGUGUAUCUCCACGUUCGUGCUUAGGAUGCUGGCAUAAUGGCUUUAAUCGACCCGUCUUGAAACACGGACC
rnacentral:rRNA from 1 species